GGGCAGACUGUGGGCCAGUGGCAUUGGAUUGUGAUUGGACUGGUUGUGGUGCUGGCAGUCCUUCUUGUGGUUGCAGUCAUCCUGUGGCUUGUGCACUCCAGGAAAAGGAAGUACUUGCCCAACAAAACUAAGGAGGAUAAUUAAAAAGGUAAACGUGGCUAGGCUGGAGAUCAGGCACUUCAGCCCCAGCCAGGACCAUGGAGACAUCCAGAGCAGUGAGGACAUGGAGAAAAUGGGAAGGAUAACCCCAGCACAGUUCUGAUGGCCGCCAUGUCCCCUGGCUCUCCUGUGGCUGUUACCAGCACGGGGCUCCCAUGAAACUCACCCAAUUCAGCAGGGCAAGAGGAAAACAGAAGGCCCUGGAGGGCUGAGCUUUUUCAUUCCUCAGUCCCUUCAGCUCCCAGGGUUUGCUUACUGCUUUUGUAAGGCCUUUGAAUCUGGCUUUCUCUAAUGCGUUUUUUUUUCCAGGCUUUGCUUUCGUUUUUUGCUUUCCUGGAGGCAGGACUUGUAUGCCAGAUUUCCCAGUCCCAGACUCACACAGGCUCAGGUUGAUGGCAUUCUCCUGCUGUCCUCUGGGUUCCCAACCCCUCUGUUGAUAUUCAGCCAAACCCAGGGCUUGGCUUGGCCUGGCUGGACAGCUUUGUGACUCUGCCUGUUCUGUCUGGACAACAAAUAAAGGCUUAUGGAUUGGAGGGGCUGCCUGUCCCACACA